rnacentral:misc_RNA from 1 species
CACCAAUCAAGCCUGGCUUGGUAUUGGGCCACGGGGGCGACCCGGGCCUCAAAGUUCGCCGGCUGGAAAGCUCUGAUCUCAGCGUCGUGAUCAUCAAUUCGCUACGGAAAGGAGCGGUCUGCGCCGUGAAAUCUAUCACAGG